rnacentral:rRNA from 1 species
GACGGACGCUGGCGGCGUGCUUAACACAUGCAAGUCGAACGGAAAGGCCCUGCUUUUGUGGGGUGCUCGAGUGGCGAACGGGUGAGUAACACGUGAGUAACCUGCCCUUGACUUUGGGAUAACUUCAGGAAACUGGGGCUAAUACCGGAUAGGAGCUCCUGCUGCAUGGUGGGGGUUGGAAAGUUUCGGCGGUUGGGGAUGGACUCGCGGCUUAUCAGCUUGUUGGUGGGGUAGUGGCUUACCAAGGCUUUGACGGGUAGCCGGCCUGAGAGGGUGACCGGCCACAUUGGGACUGAGGUACGGCCCAGACUCCUACGGGAGGCAGCAGUGGGGAAUAUUGCACAAUGGGCGGAAGCCUGAUGCAGCAACGCCGCGUGCGGGAUAACGGCCUUCGGGUUGUAAACCGCUUUCGCCUGUGACGAAGCGUGAGUGACGGUAAUGGGUAAAGAAGCACCGGCUAACUACGUG